GGCGUUAAGUUGCAGGGUAUAGACCCGAAACCCGGUGAUCUAGCCAUGGGCAGGUUGAAGGUUGGGUAACACUAACUGGAGGACCGAACCGACUAAUGUUGAAAAAUUAGCGGAUGACCUGUGGCUGGGGGUGAAAGGCCAAUCAAACCGGGAGAUAGCUGGUUCUCCCCGAAAGCUAUUUAGGUAGCGCCUCGUGAAUUCAUCUCCGGGGGUAGAGCACUGUUUCGGCUAGGGGGCCAUCCCGGCUUACCAACCCGAUGCAAACUGCGAAUACCGGAGAAUGUUAUCACGGGAGACACACGGCGGGUGCUAACGUCCGUCGUGAAGAGGGAAACAACCCAGACCGCCAGCUAAGGUCCCAAAGUCAUGGUUAAGUGGGAAACGAUGUGGGAAGGCCCAGACAGCCAGGAUGUUGGCUUAGAAGCAGCCAUCAUUUAAAGAAAGCGUAAUAGCUCACUGGUCGAGUCGGCCUGCGCGGAAGAUGUAACGGGGCUAAACCAUGCACCGAAGCUGCGGCAGCGACGCUGAUGCGUUGUUGGGUAGGGGAGCGUUCUGUAAGCCUGUGAAGGUGUGUCGUGAGGCAUGCUGGAGGUAUCAGAAGUGCGAAUGCUGACAUAAGUAACGAUAAAGCGGGUGAAAAGCCCGCUCGCCGGAAGACCAAGGGUUCCUGUCCAACGUUAAUCGGGGCAGGGUGAGUCGACCCCUAAGGCGAGGCCGAAAGGCGUAGUCGAUGGGAAACGGGUUAAUAUUCCCGUACUUGGUGUUACUGCGAAGGGGGGACGGAGAAGGCUAUGUUGGCCGGGCGACGGUUGUCCCGGUUUAAGCGUGUAGGUGUGUGUUCCAGGUAAAUCCGGUUCACUUUAACACUGAGGCGUGAUGACGAGGCACUACGGUGCUGAAGCAACAAAUGCCCUGCUUCCAGGAAAAGCCUCUAAGCAUCAGGUAACAUCAAAUCGUACCCCAAACCGACACAGGUGGUCAGGUAGAGAAUACCAAGGCGCUUGAGAGAACUCGGGUGAAGGAACUAGGCAAAAUGGUGCCGUAACUUCGGGAGAAGGCACGCUGACACGUAGGUGAAGUGAUUUACUCACGGAGCUGAAGUCAGUCGAAGAUACCAGCUGGCUGCAACUGUUUAUUAAAAACACAGCACUGUGCAAACACGAAAGUGGACGUAUACGGUGUGACGCCUGCCCGGUGCCGGAAGGUUAAUUGAUGGGGUCAGCGCAAGCGAAGCUCCUGAUCGAAGCCCCGGUAAACGGCGGCCGUAACUAUAACGGUCCUAAGGUAGCGAAAUUCCUUGUCGGGUAAGUUCCGACCUGCACGAAUGGCGUAAUGAUGGCCAGGCUGUCUCCACCCGAGACUCAGUGAAAUUGAACUCGCUGUGAAGAUGCAGUGUACCCGCGGCAAGACGGAAAGACCCCGUGAACCUUUACUAUAGCUUGACACUGAACAUUGAGCCUUGAUGUGUAGGAUAGGUGGGAGGCUUUGAAGUGUGGACGCCAGUCUGCAUGGAGCCGACCUUGAAAUACCACCCUUUAAUGUUUGAUGUUCUAACGUGGACCCGUAAUCCGGGUUGCGGACAGUGUCUGGUGGGUAGUUUGACUGGGGCGGUCUCCUCCUAAAGAGUAACGGAGGAGCACGAAGGUUGGCUAAUCCUGGUCGGACAUCAGGAGGUUAGUGCAAUGGCAUAAGCCAGCUUGACUGCGAGCGUGACGGCGCGAGCAGGUGCGAAAGCAGGUCAUAGUGAUCCGGUGGUUCUGAAUGGAAGGGCCAUCGCUCAACGGAUAAAAGGUACUCCGGGGAUAACAGGCUGAUACCGCCCAAGAGUUCAUAUCGACGGCGGUGUUUGGCACCUCGAUGUCGGCUCAUCACAUCCUGGGGCUGAAGUAGGUCCCAAGGGUAUGGCUGUUCGCCAUUUAAAGUGGUACGCGAGCUGGGUUUAGAACGUCGUGAGACAGUUCGGUCCCUAUCUGCCGUGGGCGCUGGAGAACUGAGGGGGGCUGCUCCUAGUACGAGAGGACCGGAGUGGACGCAUCACUGGUGUUCGGGUUGUCAUGCCAAUGGCACUGCCCGGUAGCUAAAUGCGGAAGAGAUAAGUGCUGAAAGCAUCUAAGCACGAAACUUGCCCCGAGAUGAGUUCUCCCUGAGACUUUAAGUCUCCUGAAGGAACGUUGAAGACGACGACGUUGAUAGGCCGGGUGUGUAAGCGCAGCGAUGCGUUGAGCUAACCGGUACUAAUGAACCGUGAGGCUUAACCUUACA
rnacentral:rRNA from 1 species